UACGGAGGGUGCAAGCGUUAAUCGGAAUAACUGGGCGUAAAGCGCACGCAGGCGGUUUGUUAAGCCAGAUGUGAAAGCCCGGGGCUCAACCUCGGAACUGCAUUUGGAACUGGCAGACUAGAGUCUUGUAGAGGGGGGUAGAAUUUCCAGUGUAGCGGUGAAAUGCGUAGAGAUUGGAAGGAAUACCAGUGGCGAAGGCGGCCCCCUGGACAAAGACUGACGCUCAGGUGCGAAAGCAUGGGGAGCAAACAGG
rnacentral:rRNA from 1 species